AACGAACGCUGGCGGCAGGCUUAACACAUGCAAGUCGAACGCACCUUUCGGGGUGAGUGGCAGACGGGUGAGUAACGCGCGGGAAUCUACCCUUCUCUACGGGAUAGCUCCGGGAAACUGGAAUUAAUACCGUAUACGUCCUGAGGGAGAAAGAUUUAUCGGGGAAGGAUGAGCCCGCGUUGGAUUAGCUAGUUGGUGGGGUAAAGGCCUACCAAGGCGACGAUCCAUAGCUGGUCUAAGAGGAUGAUCAGCCACAUUGGGACUGAGACACGGCCCAAACUCCUACGGGAGGCAGCAGUGGGGAAUAUUGGACGAUGGGCGCAAGCCUGAUCCAGCCAUGCCGCGUGAGUGAUGAAGGCCCUAGGGUUGUAAAGCUCUUUCAGUGGGGACGAUAAUGACGGUACCCACAGAAGAAGCCCCGGCUAACUUCGUG
rnacentral:rRNA from 1 species